CCUACGGGAGGCAGCAGUGGGAAUAUUGGGCAAUGGGCGCAAGCCUGACCCAGCAACGCCGCGUGAAGGAAGAAGGCUUUCGGGUUGUAAACUUCUUUUCUCAGGGACGAAGCAAGUGACGGUACCUGAGGAAUAAGCCACGGCUAACUACGUGCCAGCAGCCGCGGUAAUACGUAGGUGGCAAGCGUUAUCCGGAUUUACUGGGGGGAAAGGGCGUGUAGGCGGGAAAGCAAGUCAGAUGUGAAAGCCAUGGGCUCAACCUGUGGCCUGCAUUUGAAACUGUUUUUCUUGAGUACUGGAGAGGCAGACGGAAUUCCUGGUGUAGCGGUGAAAUGCGUAGAUAUUAGGAGGAACACCAGUGGCGAAGGCGGUCUGCUGGACAGCAACUGACGCUGAGGCGCGAAAGCGUGGGGAGCAAACAGGAUUAGAUACCCUAGUAGUC
rnacentral:rRNA from 1 species